rnacentral:misc_RNA from 1 species
GGGGGGGGGAAGAGAUUCUUUGUUCCCCGUUCAAAAUUUUAAGGGAAUGAUUUAUUAUAUAUAGAGAGAGAGAGAGAGAGAUUUAGCUUAUCAAAAAAAUAUAUAGAGAGAGAGAGAUUUAUAUAGUCAUUAAUGAUGAUGGGUUUGUUCAGUUGUGAUUAUUAUUGCAUGGCCAUGCAGACGUGAAUUGUUGCAGUUGUCUGAACAUCAAAAUUUGGCGUAUGUUCGACAGUUUUUGUCGGAGAAUACUGUGUUCGGACCGGAGCUGGUCGUUCUCCCUCCUUACGCUGUGACAAUGGUACACAACAAAGCGCAACCGGUUCGAGAGUUCUCGAUUUUGAAUCCUCAGUUGGUUCACCUGAUUUCUUAGAUUUUCUAAGUGUCUUUGUUUUCGCAUGCGUGACCGCCUGGCUGACUCCCGAUUCGAUAUCAUCCGCCUCCGUUUCCGCUCAUCGAUCACCGAAACGGUGGUUGGUUUCUGUUCAUCAGAACUACAGUUAGAGUUGGCAGGGUUUUGGUUAGACCGGUUCGGUUCGUUUGGAUCAUCAGAACCAGAGCUCGAAACUAUGGGUUUUGUUAAUUGGGGAUCGGUGGCGGCAAAGAGGUCAGAACAGUCCCACGGCGGUGUAUAGCCGUUUUCAAAGGACGGAAACGGGUUUCCAAGUAUGGAAUCAGCGGAGGAGAAGAAGCCUGCCGGAAUAGCAGUAGCAGAUAACAUGUUUGACAGAAUUGCUUAAUAGACAAGGGAGGAAGGAAGGAGGAGGAGAAACAAAAGCAAGCAGAG